rnacentral:rRNA from 1 species
AGUGAACGCUGGCGGUAGGCCUAACACAUGCAAGUCGAACGGCAGCACAGUAAGAGCUUGCUCUUACGGGUGGCGAGUGGUGGACGGGUGAGGAAUACAUCGGAAUCUACUUUUUCGUGGGGGAUAACGUAGGGAAACUUACGCUAAUACCGCAUACGACCUACGGGUGAAAGCAGGGGAUCUUCGGACCUUGCGCGAUUGAAUGAGCCGAUGUCGGAUUAGCUAGUUGGCGGGGUAAAGGCCCACCAAGGCGACGAUCCGUAGCUGGUCUGAGAGGAUGAUCAGCCACACUGGAACUGAGACACGGUCCAGACUCCUACGGGAGGCAGCAGUGGGGAAUAUUGGACAAUGGGCGCAAGCCUGAUCCAGCCAUACCGCGUGGGUGAAGAAGGCCUUCGGGUUGUAAAGCCCUUUUGUUGGAAAGAAAAGCAGCAGGUUAAUACCCCGCUGUUCUGACGGUACCCAAAGAAUAAGCACCGGCUAACUUCGU